rnacentral:rRNA from 1 species
AUUGAACGCUGGCGGCAGGCCUAACACAUGCAAGUCGAACGGUAACAGGAAACAGCAUGCUGUUUCGCUGACGAGUGGCGUACGGGUGAGUAAUGUCUGGGAAACUGCCUGAUGGAGGGGGAUAACUACUGGAAACGGUAGCUAAUACCGCAUAACGUCGCAAGACCAAAGAGGGGGACCCUCGGGCCUCUUGCCAUCGGAUGUGCCCAGAUGGGAUUAGCUUGUUGGUGGGGUAACGGCUCACCAAGGCGACGAUCCCUAGCUGGUCUGAGAGGAUGACCAGACACACUGGAACUGAGACACGGUCCAGACUCCUACGGGAGGCAGCAGUGGGGAAUAUUGCACAAUGGGCGCAAGCCUGAUGCAGCCAUGCCGCGUGUAUGAAGAAGGCCUUCGGGUUGUAAAGUACUUUCAGCGGGGAGGAAGGGAGUAAAGUUAAUACCUUUGCGCAUUGACGUUACCCGCAGAAGAAGCACCGGCUAACUCCGUG